GCCAAGACAGUGGAGCAAGAAAUUAGAAAAGAAAAAUCUGAGAAGACUUCUUCAGUUCCGAAAGAUAAAGAGCCUAUUAAGGGGAAAGAAGUGAAGUUGCCAGCUCCCCUAAAGGAAAAAGAAUCUGAAACUAAAAGAGAUGAAAAGACAUCCAAAGCAGGCAAAGAAGUGAAGCUUAAGCCUCC